rnacentral:rRNA from 1 species
UACGUAGGUGGCAAGCGUUGUCCGGAUUUAUUGGGUUUAAAGGGUGCGUAGGCGGUUUUUAAGUCAGUGCUGAAAUACUCCAGCUUAACUGGAGGGGUGGCAUUGAUACUGGAAGACUUGAGUACAGAUGAGGUAGGCGGAAUUGACGGUGUAGCGGUGAAAUGCAUAGAUAUCGUCAAGAACACCGAUAGCGAAGGCAGCUUACUGGGCUGUAACUGACGCUGAGGAGCGAAAGCAUGGGGAGCGAACAGG